rnacentral:rRNA from 1 species
GACAACGCCUGGCGGCGUGCUUAACACAUGCAAGUCGAACGGGACGAGUGAGAUAAGUUUACUUAACUCACAAGUUAGUGGCGGACGGGUGAGUAACACGUGGAUAAUCUACCUGCAACACCGGGAUAACGCUGUGAAAACGGUGCUAAUACCGGAUACGUUCCCUUGUGCGCAUGUAUGAGGGAAGAAAGCUCAGGCGGUUGCAGAUGAGUCCGCGGCUGAUUAGCUAGUUGGUGAGGUAAAGGCUCACCAAGGCGAUGAUCAGUAGCCGGCCUGAGAGGGUGAACGGCCACACUGGGACUGAGACACGGCCCAGACUCCUACGGGAGGCAGCAGUGGGGAAUCUUCCGCAAUGGGCGCAAGCCUGACGGAGCAACGCCGCGUGGGUGAAGAAGGCCUUCGGGUUGUAAAGCCCUGUCUUAUGGGAAGAAGUCAGUGACGGUACCAUAGGAGGAAGCCACGGCUAACUACGUG